AAGAAAAGCAGACUCUCCAGUCAAAUGCGGAGGAAGCAGGAUGGGCACAAUGGAGAUGAGCAUGUGACCAGUCGCUGAAACCACCAAGAGUACUCAGCAAGUGUGAGAGGUCAGAAACUCGUCACAGGAUCCACACCCAACUCACAGCCCAUGUUGAGGUGUGCAAGGAAGGUAUUUGAUGGGCUGCCUGGAGUCACCAUCUAUUAGACGCCCAAGAGUCAAGUCUGGUGAAAGGGAUCUCCACCCAGCCUAGAAACUAAGCGGAUUUGGAGUUAUGAACGGACUCUACCAGCGGUCAACAUGAAACAUAUAGGUGCGUCCAUGGUGGGAAGGGCUGGGUGGCAGCAGUGUACACACCAUUUGCUGUUAUAUAAGAAGAGCAAGGAGUUUCUUUCUGGGGCUGGUGGCCAAAUCAGUCCUGUUGGGUCUCAUUGCAGGGGAGUCACCAGGGUGCUUCUUAGCAGCAGCAGCACCACCACCACCACUGCCACCACCGUCACUACCAUUACCAUCACCAUUACCACCACUGAAGGACUCUCUAACAGGCAUGGCUAACAUGGCACUGACAGGUCUUGCCUCCUCCUCUUCCCUCUGCCUUGCUAAACUGUUACGUUACAUUCAUAAAGCUAGCCCCAAAGGUCUGCUCCCUUAUUUGGCCUCUUCCUUAUGCCUGACUAAAACUCCUAGGUCCAACUAUCAAAACACCAAGGUCCAGCAAUCAAAAUUCAUUAUUUGGCUACAUUGGUUAAUCUGUCCAAUCAGGACUUACCAACUCACCUUAUCACAGACUUCUGCUUUUCUCCUUAAAAAGCACUCCUGCAGAAAUACCUGCUGUCUGAUACAGAGACAAUACUACCUCCAAUACUUCUCCCAACUCCAGGGUAAUAAACCUCCUUUGUGCUGAGAAUUUGGUGUCUAGGUAUGUUCUGUGGCGAUUUUGAGCCGCAUGCCUGCCCCCCAAACAUCAUCACCAUCAGCAGCAGCAGCACCAGCGGCUGCUGCUGCUACACUGUCUAUGCUGGACAGGCACAACUGUGGCUUCUGGUGGGUCCAACCCUUUGACAUCACUUGAAUCAAUCUUCUUGUCUGGAUACUUUCCUAGUUUAGCUCUCCAGCUUUCCUAGGAUUCAAUAGAUAUCCAGUACCUCUGUUCAAAGUGUUCCUUUCUCUAUGGAACGUGUUUGUCUGUUAUUCCCUUAUCACAAGGGAAGAACUCACCAAGGACACAGUAAUGUUAAGAUGUCUGAAAGACAAACUGGUCAAUGAUCUGUAUUACAUGUGAACAUCCCAUUAAACCAUGAGCUGCCACUUCUGGAGGUCAAGGGGUUUCAGUCACUUGGAGGCAGGCCAAGGACACAGCCCAGUUGAAUCUCAUGAUGACAGGCCCACAGUUCUGCACUCCAAGAACAUACACAGCUACAGCCAGAUGUGAAAUAACCACUGUGGUUAACACGGGACUAGAGACGAGAAAGAAAAUAGCAUGUUCGUGACCACUCAUGUUUCUCCCAGAGACAAUCAUACAAAAUACCCUUGGAAAUCACACACGUUGUCUUUCUUCUGCAUGAGGGGUGAUGACUACACCCUUGAGGGCAGAUUAGAAGUCCGUGUUUGCCACAGCAGAGUGAGAAAGACCAUCCUCCUCUGGGCCUUCCGAAUCCUAGGAACAUUUGCCAAAGGUGGUGGCAGAAGCCAUAGGGACCUGAUCUUCUUCCAACUCAGUAAUUGCAUCCUGCCUGCUCUGCUGGGCCACCUCCUCUUCCUGCAGAAGGGCAGUACCUCCUCCUGUGCAAACCCGAUGGGAGGCCCCAUGGCUUAUGCACACCUGCAGGGUUGCUCCUCACCCCAGUCUGUAAUGACAGUGACUCUGCCCUCUGCUCUUUGGGGGGGCUUCACUGUUGAUACUCAAAUACCAUGCCAGUUUGUGGUUUUGCUCUCUUUGUUGCUCAAGGCUCUUGUUUGUUUGUUUGUUUGUUUGUUUGUUUGUUUGUUUGUUUGUUUUAAUGUAGCAGUUUUAGGUUUAUGGAAAAACUGGGCGGGGGUGGGGGGAACAUCCGUCUCCAUGCCUCCACACAUACAAAGCCUCUCCUGGCAUCUCUACCAGAGUGGUACAUCUGCUAUAACUGAUUAUUCUGCAGCGACAUACCAGUUACCCUAAGGUCAUCGUUUGUACCAGGUCUCACUCCCGGUGUGCAGUCUACAGUCACGGAUAAUGACGUGUAUCCACCAUCAUGGUACCACACAGAGUGUUUUCCCACCCCCAAAUUCCUUGUCACUCCUCCCUCUCCGCUAGUCUUGUACUGACUUUCACUUGGUAAAAAGCAUGCGCAUCUCUUGCAUGUCUUGCUGUGUCUUCAUAGGUUGUGUUUUGUUGGUUUGGCCCCUUUAAAUGCCGUUCCAUCUGUAAGGCAUUUUUUAAUGUCUAUCAGACUCCUGUUCAUUCCUCAGAGUGCAAUUCCAGCCGUGUCUCCUGAAAGAAGGGCCCACCAGCACCCUCUCCUUAAAGUUAGCAUCUUCUUCCUCUGCCGUCUUCUGUGCAUGUUCCCCAUCAGUGGGGCUGCUCAGUCUGCCUUGCUGGCUCUCUGUCUGUCUGUCUAGCUCAUUGUUACACAAUGCACACCUCCAUCUGUGUGUCAUUGAUGCCCUGAAACCUGAACUUAUUUUUAUGCUUGUUGUACUGGCCAGCUUUAUGUCAGCUUGACACGAGCUAAAGCCAUUUUGGAAGAGGGAACCUCAAUUGAGAAAAUAUUUAUGGGCAGGCGCAUGGUGCAUUUGUUUGAAUGAUGACUGAUGGAGGUGGGCCCCGUUGGCUGUGGGCAGUGCCACUCCUGGGCUUGUGGCCCUUGAGUGCUACAAGAAAGCAGGCUGAGCAAACCAUGAGGAGCAAGCCAGUAAGCAAUGUUUCUCCACAGAUUCUGUUUCGGUCCCUGCCUCCAGGUUCCUGCUUGAGUUCCUGCCCUGACUUCUCUCCAUGAUGGACUGCCGUCUGCAUAUGAAAUAAACCCCUUCUUCCACAAGUUAUUUUCAUCAUGGUGUUUUAUCACAGUAAUAAGAAACCCUAAGACACUAUUACCCCUCUAUUUUAGUUCCUGGAGAUGGUGUGGGUAUAAAAUAAUCUAUGAGAAAAAUUAAUCUAUGCAUCUGAUAAGAAAUAAACUGUCAAGACUUUCUGCUGUGGAAUUCUAGAUAAAUAUAUUGUGUAGAGAGAUACAGGCAUACGUAAUACCUGUUUAUCUAAACAAUACCAGCAUAAGAGCUGCACCAAGGGGAGGUGGCCCUGGCUGUUUACAGGCAAACAGCCAGAUGUGCAAAUUCCCAGCUAAGACACAAGGGCUUCCUAGAAGUAUUUUCUCCAGCAUCACUUGGAUUGUGCCACCCUAAGUCUGUUGGGGUGUUUGUGGUUUUCACAACUGUAGGGACACUCUGCCACAAAUUAUGACUCUUCUACAUUUCAUAGAAGUUCUGAGCACACCACUGGGAAAAUCGCUCACGGUUAUCUGAGCCAAGAACUUCACUCUUUCAUUUGUAAAUACAUGCAAACUUCUGUAUUCAAUGGGGAAUAUGUUUUUACCAGAAUCUAAGGUGAAUUUUGUGUUUGUGCACGUGUGGUCAGCUGUGUACAGGUACACGUGUGUACGCAGGUGCACUUGCCCAUGCGUGUGGAGACCAGAGGACAACCCCCGGUGUUGUUCUUCAGACACAUUUUUGUAGGGGGGGUGAGGGUCCCUCACUGUCACGGAGCUCACUGAGCAGGACAGGCUUCGGUGGACAAUGAAUCCCAAGGAAACUCCUGACACUGUUUCCCCCAAUUUGGAUUAAAGCGCAUGCCACCACACCCAGAUUUCCACUGAACUCGAGUCCCUGUGCUCAUGAAACAAAUGCUUUAGCACCUGGGCCAUCUCCCGAGCCCUGACCAAGGUAAAUUUUGAUAAGAUUGGAUUUUAAUCCAUUGGAUCUGGCUGAGAGUUGUUCUCUGUUUUGGAAAAACAAGUCACUAGAAAAAAAAAAGAAAUCCCUGGUGGCCUCUAAGUCACCAAUACAACCCACCCGAGGUAGUCCACCUUGAACGCUAACGCAUUUGGAGGGUCACCAGUUCAGCCACUUUCUCAGUAUCUCAUGACCAAAGCACUUAUUAUUGAAACAUAAUUCUUCUUCUAAGCUGUUUUCAUUUUGCCUUCGCAUUAUAACUAGGAAAUAAUCAUGGAUUUCAAAAAAAAAAAAAAUGAUGUGUCUAGUAAGUUGUACUGCCUACAGUGUUCAUUUCAACGUAAUAAAAAUGUUUUAGU